CUGCUGUCGGCUGGACUGAAGGAUCCACACUGGAGACUGGAAGCUCUCAGCCUAUUACCAUAUAGCACCAUUUUCCACAUGGUGCUGUAUGAACCUGGGAAACCGACCCAUCUACUGGAACCACAAUGACAUGGUAGUCAGAGCAGCAGGGGGUCAAAUAUAGCUCCAUGUGGAACCAAGAGGUUGGAGAGAGAAAAUCAGUUUGAAACUGUUUCCUAUCAGAGUUCAGUUUGUUUCUCUGUCUUCACAAACCAGGAGCAUCAUGGGCUGGGCGGGGCUUCCACUGAUGGAUCUACUGAGAAAAUACAAGAAGCUGAUUGGCUGAUGGACAGGAAGUUAGACUGUUCAGAUAAAUUACAUUAACAGAUAUUAUUGGCAUUGAAGAGAUAUGGCUGAGAGCAAUUAUAGAUUCUAGAAUAAGUGGAAAUGUUUCAGUAACAGGAAGAGGAUGAGCAACAUGUUAA